GAAUAAAACAACAGCCAUGCUAUUGUGUGAAAAAUAACCCACAUUGGGGUGGUCCACAGCCCUCCUCUGUGUGCCUAAGUGGAUUAUCUUCAUAUAAUGGCACGACUUGAGGUGUGUUAUUCCACGUAUACCACAACGAUUUAUGGUUACAGUUUUUUAUUUAUUAAUGAAUUAUACAUUAUGUUCUUUUACAACACCACUUGUGUGAUGCAUGCUACCAUCCUGCAUUAACAGCAAAAUAAAACAAGGCAUCAAAUUAUGUUUAGCUCUGUCAACUCGUAAGAUAUGGUAAAUGCUCAGUGUUCAGUGUGUUAACUGAAUGUUGAUAAUUAAGCAAGGACAGUUUGUUGACAUCAGACUGAAUGCGGAUUUACUAUUGUUCCUUGAGUCACCUGAUUGUUUCUUCUGUUUUUCUGUAGUAAUGGCUCUCCAGUUCUAUUACUGGGCUUUGUCCAAAGCUGUAUACUCUGGUAUAAAUAACAAAUGUAGUUAUGAUUGCCUUGGAUAGUUUGCUGCCUUGGUUAAUUUAUUCUAAUACAUUUUCAUGUAACAUCACCUGUUUUUUUUCCAGUCUUCAACUGUCCAGUUUCAUUGAGCUUUUGCCCACUGUAGACUCCUAGGGGUAGGGUUAGAUUCCUGUUCUUGGCUGACUGGAGUGGAGCCCAAUGUGAUCUGCUUUUGUAACCUCAAAAUACUAUGUGUUGUUGUCAUUCUGCAAUGAUUUUCUGCUCACCACAUUUGUAAAGAGUGGUUAUUUUAGUUACCAUAGCGUUCCUGUUAGCUCAAAACAGUCUACCCGUUCUCUUCUGACGUCUCUCAUUUUUGUUUUAACAUCAUUCUGCAUAAAAAUCCCGGGAGAUCAGCAGUUUCUGAAAUACUCAAACCAGUUUGUCUGGCACUAACAACUAUUCUGUGGUCAACGUAGACGUGAGACAUUUUCUCUAUUCUGAUGUGUGAUGUGAACAUUAACUGAAGCUCCUGUAUCUGCAUGAUUCUAUGCAUUGCGCUGCUGUCAUGUGAUUGGUUGAUUGGAUUAACUGCAUGAAUGAGCAGGUUUAUACUACACAUCAUUUCUGUCAUUGUAGCAGUAUUCUAGAUGUAAUGUAUAUAUGUAUAUAUUUAUGUCACUGAGCACUUUUAUUUUACUCUGUUGUAAAUACUGUAAACACUCGCUACUUUAAGCCCCUUAAAAUGCCAUCAUAACCUUAAAUAUUAGUUCGACUGUAAAAAUAAAUAAAUAAAUAAAUAAAUAAUAAUAAUCUCAACACUGACGCGCUCCAUUCGUGUUGAUUAUUUAUAUGUAUGCCUAUUGUUGUAUGCAUGGAAAAGUAUGAAUUUCACUGCCGGUUGCACACUGUAGGGCCACUUUUUUGCCCACGACAAUAAAGACUUGAACGUGAAUAGUAGUUUGGGACGUGGUUUAACGUAGACAGUUUAACGUGGUUAACGUAGAGAGACAGUGCUUAUCAGAUCUCCGCUGUGGUUAGGUCAGGAAUAAACGGGAACUCCUGCACCGCCUGUCGGUGUUUGUAUAAAUGGCUUGCGUGCGCUUAGAAACGCGGAUAGUAGCGUGCGCGUCAUGGACAUCAGUGAGACGGCGGCAGCGCAGCAUUAAACAGACUAUUCAGUUUUUACACAAGGAUUCCGCCGACUUGCUGCCAUUAGAUGGCUUCAAGAAACUCGGAACGUCCAAAGAAGGGAGGAAGGGAUUGUGUAGGCUCUCCGAAUAAAACCAUUUUAAUUAGGCACACUGGAGGGAAACUAUAAGGUGUAGCUACAAAAGUUCAGUGACUCAAAGUCACUUACCGAACCGAACGUUAUGCAGUUAUAGUGCCGUUAAAGUGAUUGGAAGGUUUUAAAGGCAAGGUGUGUUAAUCCAGUCUGGCAACACAAAGAUGUCAUUGGUCAGUCCUGGAUAUACCCUUUUUGUAAUACACCCAUUGCGUCAUCUUAAACAGCGGCUAAAUUUGACAAUAAGCGGUGUUUUUGAAAGAAUUUGGGUUAUUUGAAUUAUUGGAUUGGGAAACUAUUGGAGGUAGUAAGGUGGGUUGUGACCCCUCAAACAAUUCUGCACGCAAUACGAGGACCAUUGGGUGGGUUGCUUGUCUGCCCAGGAGAUUUGGGGAUUGUGCCGUUCUAGCCAGGGUAGUCCGAGUAUGACGGGGUGUCUGGUGGAGACCGUGAGGUAAAGGACCAGAGUUUCGUGGUGGAGGGCGCUAACUUGAAGGCAGACUGGGUGUGUGCUGUGAGAUAUUAUGCCUCCCCCUAUAGGUAACCCGUCUAUGGAUUGGAGAUCACGAGGACGGAGUAGGGGACGUAUGGGGAGGCCGAGCUCCUGCACCGUCUUCUCAUCUAUGAAGUUCUCCGCUGCUCCGGAGUCGACGAGCGCUGAAAGAACAAAAGAACAGCCUGAAUGUUCUAUCACGACUGCAACCACACAACAUUCUCCAGAGAAGGCUGUUGGAGGCCACCUUAUCACGGAUCAGAUCGAACAACCGCAACAUGAAACCAGCACGCAGUUAUACGGUUCAAAGCCCCAGCAUACACAGUGAUAUUCAAGAGGCUGAGACUGACCUCAUUCAAGUCAUGUGUCAGCUUUAAGGAAAAGAUCAUCAGCAACAAAAAUGAGGAACAUUUAGGGCCACUCCAGCACAACCUCCAAACUAUAGGACACAUCAAGCUGAGUUUGGUCAUCGGGCAAACAGAAACGGAUCUUUUAUUUACUGUUGUGAGUAAGUGCAUGAUAACACUGUUUUUAAGUGUUGCUAAGAUUCAAGUGAUUAAGCUCAAUGAGUAAAUUAUGUGUAUUGUUCGUUGCAGAAAACAGUAAAAAGUUUAUAAUGUUAGGCACAAAGACACUCAAGUUUCUGAGGUAAACUCCACCCCCACCCC